UGAGCCUCCCUUCCCCUCUAUUUAUCCUGUUUAUGUAGUGCAAAAGCUAUUGAGAGUGGGACUGCAUGCUGAGCACUGUGGGUCCUGAGCCCUGCUCAGAUCUGCAGGUGCAGGAGCUGUGAGCAGAGGACCAAGCUUCCAGCCUAAUGUUCGAAGAAUGGGAAGAGCUUUUCAGCACAGUUUAUAGGGAUGGUGGAGGCUGAACUCAGGGGCUGGCUGUGCUUCAGCUCAGAAGCUGCAAAAACUGAAAGCUAUUUGGUUUAGAGAGUGGAACAUCACGCUGUUGUUGUUGGGUGCCCCGAACACCCACCCAGGUGGGGGGGUAGUCAGAACUACAGUGCUGGGACACUUCUCCAUCAGGCCUUUCCAGCGUACUAUAGCUUUGUCAGCUUUUCUAAAAAGAAACCCUUUAUUUUGGGUAAUGAAGUGUGAGUGCAGCCUUACAGCUCACCAAGGCAUCUCUGAUCACUUUACUACUGGGGCAGUGGAACCAGGUGCUCUGACAGUGAAACCCUGUGAGAAAGUGAUACCAUCAUGGUUUGCUUGGCUUUCAGAAAUGACUGAACAAAUUUUUUCUGGUUUCCAGCUGGCCCUGUGGCUCAGUGUUGAUGAUGGAAGCAGGCUGCAUGGGUUUGAGCUAAUGAAGCCCUGGCCAGCCCUGGGUCAGCUUCAAAAACUAGAGAUGGAUGGCAGCAGGUAAAGGGGGGUGGAGCGGAGAAAGUUGCAUUGACCUUCAUUAUGAAAUGAGGGUUGUCUGGGAAUCACCUCUGAUUCAUUCUCCAGCUGAAUCACAUGUAUUCUGUAUUUGCUUGAAAGGAUUAAAGUUUUAAAGCUACUGCCCUCCUGGCUGGGUUUCUUCCUGCAAGGGGUUCGUUAGCCUCAACUCCCAUAUUAAAAAAAAAAACAUGAGGAGAUGGUGGGAGUGGCUUUCCUUUGUGAUCCUUCUGUUCCAUGCCUAGAGUAAGCACAAAAAGGCUGCUUUGAGUUGGUGCAAAUUAGCUCUAUUUGGUUAUUGUGGGGGCUAUAGGAGGCCUGGGUAAUUGCUGCAUUUGGUUCCUUUUCUUUUGGGGUUUACUGACAUUUCAGAUAGUAAAUGAACAAUUCCUUUCCCCUACAGAUGUUUUCUGUUGGUCUUGGUUGGGAAGAACCCUUGGAUGCUAAAUCUAUAUGCUCUGCUUGUGGUUUUUCCAGGCUCACUUAUAUUGAUAUGGGGCACCAGGGGGAUGCUAUGGCAGCACAGACCUCUUCUCUGCACAAAGGGAGACGAGGGAGGAGAGCCUGAAUCUGUGUGACCCCCACAACAUCCCAUGGCCACAGGGUGCUGUGUCCCUGCCCUCCUCACCCUGGUUCCUGCUGCAGCUGCUGAACCUGGGGCACUGGGGAUCCCUCUUGGGAGCAUCCAGCUCGUUUUUUGCCCCCAGCACUGCUGCAGGCAUGGGGACACAUCAGUGGAGUGGAAAUGCUUGCAGGUGCAGCCAUUCUUUGCCAGUGGUGGGGAAGGAUGGAUGGGUGCUGAAGGGAGCAGGGCUGCACAGCUCCUCCAGGACUUUCUGCUUUGUUUGCAAGCAUCAAAUCUGCACAUCUCCUCUUGAGACCUUGGGUCUUGCUUCACCUCCUGGGUUGACAUGAUAGCAGACAUCAGCCAGUCCCAUGCUCCAGAGUGAGGGAGGGGAAAUCCAGCUCCUCUGCUGCCUCUAGGUAGUCUCCCUCUUAAUCCAGACAUGCACAUAAAUGUGUGCUCACAUGCUCACAAAGAACCAGUGCUUGUCUGUGGCUGCAUGUGCAUAGUGUGACAUGUUUUUUAGGCCUCAAGCACUGCUAUCCGGAAGCGUGAAGUGAACCACAUCAGGCUCUCUGAUGUAGAGGUGAAGCAGCUUCACAUAACCAUGGUGUUUCAAUGGCAAAGUGUCUGGAUUCCAGCACCAGAGCAUGAAAGACAAGAAUCCAUAAGACCUAAAAGCCCAGAUGUCACUGUAUGACCUCCGAAUGGUGAAGGCUCACUCUGCCUUAUCAUUGGACAGCAGGAAUGGAGAGUAGCUGUGAGGCUGGUGCAAUGAGUUGAUGGUUUGCAGCCCAGGUGCAGAAGCCCCAUGUUGGCUGGCAUGCCUAGACCCCCUCAUGCAUAAUGCAAAGGCAGUAAACUGCAGAAGCACUGCUUGGCUCCUGGGGUUAUGAGUGCUGCAGAGUUCUUAGACCCUCAGCCAGACCUAUGGAGCCCUAACCCCAAACUAGUCAGUGGGAACAUAAUAAGAUUUUGAAGUUUCCCAGCCUGUCCAAGUUGUGGAGCAGGGUUGUGAACCUUGUCGUUCUCUGUGAGAAUGUUGCUUUUACAAUUAAAACCCACGCAAACCUUCAGCCCUCGCUACUGCUUGUGUUACCCCAGUGAGAUAUCUGACAUUUGAGACAGAAUGGGAAGUCAAAGAAUGCAAGGAAUGUGGUGACUCAACAUAGCAUUUAUUAUACCAUCCUACCGUUUAAGCCUAUGCAAUGUAAGAUUGUUUUACAGCAUGUGGCACAGUUCUGUGGGUUAAUUUGUAAGCAAACAGUUAUUCAAAUAGGAACUUUUCUCUGUGCCUACAUAAACUUGUUAUCUGUUUGGCAUUAGGGGAUGCUUCAGAGAAAUGCACAUUUACAUUUUUGCAUUGAUGCUAUUUGCUUUUCCUGGAACAACUCAAUGGUGCAUUGACUCUGGGGCCCUACUACUGAACUUGACCUGGGAGUGGCAUGGAAAUAAGCCAAACUUUAAGAGUAAAGGAGCCCUUUGUGUGGAGAUGCCAAUAUAUUAGGUCUCACUUUUAGGUCACAAACUUGUUAGGGGUUCUUUCAAAGUGAUGGAUUCUGCUGCUAAAAUUUCAUGAUGUCUGUUAAAUCAUAGGGUCGUGAACCAGUGCAUGUGCUGAAAAUGGCUUGCCAAGGGGCCAUGAAGACAAGGCCUUGUGUCAGGAGAUUUCCAAAGCAAAUUGGAUUUUCCACACAGCAAUGGCUGUGUUUGAAGGUCUGUCAGUGGCCUGUAAAAUUGUCCAGCAGUGAUAACAAGACAGAAUUGCCAAGCACUGAAGCAAUGUCACAGGCAUUACAGAAUAAAUUGCUCCCACUCGGUACAUAAUAGCAUCUUGAUCAUCAGUCACAGAGAGAAUUAUUCCAACCAGCCACCAGACUGGAGGAGGCUGCUCCCUUUCCAUCAGGAGAUUAUCUCAGAGCUCCUGGGCUAUGGUCACUGCAGAGAGCCCAGUGGCUACUGGGAGAAUGGGGCCAAGUAGUUGGGUGGGUGUGCUUAUAAGUUGGAUGCAUAGAGAAGGGAACAACACAAUGUCAGAGCUUGUGUUUCUGAGAAGUCCUCUGGAGUUAUCUGCUCAAACUUGAGACCAACGCCAGGACACUCAAUAUCCACAAAGUCAUUCUAUUUCUCAAAAGGACUGGGUGAAGAGGCUCAGCCUGCUUACUCUAUCACAAGACUCGUGGAAGCUUUCCUCCCCUAGCUUGUUUUCUACAUCUGUUCUCUGUCUAGAUGUGAGUUGUACAUCAUCUGCUGGGUGAGAAAUUCUGCAGCUGGUAUGCAGGUCCAUGAACAGUUUUUCUACCUGUAUUGUGACCUGUGAGGACAGAACUCUUCAAUCACAAUGUUCUUCCACCUUUAUUGCAUGUAUUGAUAUAAGGAUCACAUCUAAGAGCAUUUCCAACAGGCUACUAAAGUCACUGAAGUAGAAUAACCUCUAGCCCAGCUCCAUUGACAGUGCUGGUGAUGCAGGAAGGAUGAUUUGGCUCAUUACAUAGCAUCCUUAACUGCAAUGGCUUGCUAAGCAUCUCAGCAUGGAGCCAAGAGGUCGGGUGUUCAACUUGAACUUACACCCAAUGCUAACAGAUGGGGAAAGAGCCAGUUGUGAUGGCAGUAUGUUUUAAUGAUGAGGUCAUUUACAGUGUCUGUUAAGAUGACUGCUGUCAUAAGCAUGAGAAAAUAAAGUAGAAGCUAAAAGCCCCAAGGAAGACCUCUCAGAAAAUAGUCUCAAUCCUAGUGGUUUGGCCAGCUCUCUGGCUGUUUUCAUUAAGGACUCUUAUAUGACGCAGGAGGUAUGAAAUGAAAGUGCUGUAUUUUCAGAGCAGAUAACACCAUCAGUCUUGAGAUACGAGACUUGGGUCUUGAAAGGCUUAGAUUUAAAGUCAUGUUUACUUUCAUUAUUGAACACUUGGUUUCUUUUAAAGCUUGAUGCAGAAGUACUUUUUGACCUCUACAAAGACUCAUGUUAUCUUGAAAUGAGGGUGUACCCAUGUCCUAGGUCUUCUCUUGUGGUUCCUGAGAAGCAGGAGGAGUAUUCAGGGGACCCAGGAUGUCAUCUCUGCUAUCUUCUGUGACAGCAGGCCAGCUCUUAAACCUUAGUUUAUUCCUCCGUACAGUGGUGUAAUGACGCCUCAUGAAGACAAGGAAGGCAAUGUGAGUGCUGAGAAUAAUUGCAAUAGUGGUUUGCUUGUUUGGAUUUCCUAAUGACCCAUAUACAUCUGGGGGCUGACAUUCUUGUUCCUUUCAUUCCACCAUCUGUGCUGAGCAUUUCUUUGUAAAAAUAGAAAGUAUGUUUUUUCAUUUGUCAAAUGCUCUUUCCAAAAUAGUAAGGCUAGUUUUCUGUAUUUCUAUUACUGUGUUCGGACACCUGGGAAGUUACUUUUCUGACUGCCUCCCAUUCCUGUGAAUCUUAAUUGAUUUUUACAAGUAAUCAAGCUACAACAGUGGGUAAAGCUGUUGGAGGUACAGUCUGAAUGGUUCAUUCUGGAUCGACUAGUAAUCUUCCCAGACUGCUGCUGCAGCGUCCAAAACAUUUUUGAUACAAACAAAUAUCCGAACAUUCUGGAGCAUUUUGCUUGCACUAGGUAUAGGAAGCCAGCAGCUCCUUCCCGAGCACUGCGUGGGUGCUGCUGGCCUCGGGCUGAUGCUGGAUGGGAGAGUGCAUUGGUCACGCAUACAAUGACCAUGGGCUUCUCCAGCCCGGGCUUGAAUGGAGAAGACAGUUGUGGUUCCACCCAGUCUCUGAAGGGUUGGAUAUAUCUUACUGCCAAAAGAAAACUGCAUAAAUCAUCUCUGAGUGCAGAGCUGUCUGGCUUCCUUGGAGGGAAAGUGCAGUUAGGGUGGGGCAAGAGGACACAAGGGUGCAACGCGGCUUGUAGGCUGGUGUGCAAAAAUCUCCUCCGAGCUGCCCUCAGCCCAGCAAAGCUCAGGAGGUGGGUGGAUCUGUCCAUGCCGAAUGAGUUCUUGGAAGAAAGGGCGCCUGGAGACCCAUGCUGGGGUGCUGCCGUGCAGAGCCCAGCGUGACCUACAGAGCUGUCCUGUUUUCCUUGCAAUGUGUGUGCCUGUUUAUGAAAUCCAUCACCCUGGGUGAUGUCAUGACAUGAUGAGAAACUGGGUUGUAAAUUAAAGGAAGAAGGAAAAAAAAAGACCCCACUGUGGGUCACAUGCUGGCAAUAAAUUCAGAUAACAGCUCAUCAGUGCCUCUUCCCUUGUUCUUGUGUAUGUAUGUGUUUUUUUCCAGUUGGGAGAAGAGUUGGUGAAAAGCAGCUGUUUUUUAUUUGUUCUCCAUCCACAUCUGAUUAGAUAGCCCUGCUUCUGCCCACUGAGACGUGCUCGGGAACUCUCCCAGCCUCUCUGCUCACUCAUUUUCUUGGGCAUUUAGGAGCUUGGGACUGUCGGAGCUUUGUUUCACAAGCUGACGGCAUUUCAGAGGUACAAAGGGCUCCUUCAUGAUCCCAGGGCUCAGGUCCCACCAGGCCAGAGGGCAUUGCCAGAUCCCGCAGUGGGGCUGUCUAUGAGUCUCUAUGGCUUUGGGCCUGGGAAGGCAGUAGUGGCAAUGGUUAAUCCAUUAUUUUUUUAAUUUUCAGACAAUUUUGAGGCUCUGCAGCCCAGGAUGGGGGUUGUUUCCCUCCAGGAUCUGGGAAUGUGCCCAUCAGUAAGGGUGGUGGAGAGGGAACUGUGUUGCAAAGAGGAAAGUGUGUUGUGGUUGUGUACCAGCAGUUGGGUGGGCAGUGUGGGAGUGCAGGAUCUGGGGUGAGGGCAGGUUCCGGUUCCUGUAUAACCCUAUAUGUAUUGCUUACUUAUUAAGGCUAAAGUAGGAAAAUGAUGAACUUCUAACUUGUUGAAUCCAGUGCAAAAGGUCCCAUAAUCUCCAUUGGGCUUUGCAGGCCAAACCUGUGAGUCAUCUUCACACCGUGCCACUGGAGGACUCUUCCACCAAAGCAGAUGUCAUCUUUCAGAGGACAUGGAUGAGCAUUUUGCUCAUCCCUUCUGGUCCUGCCUCUGCUGUCCCUUCCCCUGUUACGUGACUAAUUGACAAGAUGAACAGUUCUGGACCUUUUCACUGCUGCUGCAGCUUCCAUUUGCUGUCUGGAUCCUUAGAGCAGAAUAACCCACUUGCAAGGGUGGAUAACCAGGGCUUGUUACUGCAACGAGGAGAGAAGGGCAGAUAAGCUUAUCUGAGCCUGAGAACUUUUUAUCUUUUUAUUCAUUUUUUGUUUUUUGCUCUUUGGGAUGGGGAUCUCCCGUGACAAGUCAGAAGCUGUGAGGCUGAGCUCCUGGUGCUGUGUUGGGACAAGCCCUGACCACGCUCCCACAUUGUGUGCUGAGAGUGAGCUUCAGCUCACGUAACCCUCAUCUGUUCCUCACUGCGGGCUUCUGUGCCUUUGCCUUGGGUUCCUAAGUGAAUUUCUGGGAGUCCCGGGUUAAGUCCAGUGCAGAAGUUGGGGCUGCAGAGCUUCCAGAAGGAGAGCUGGAGCGAUGCACCUCUCAGUCCAUCAUGGAAACAACAGUGGAAAUAACAAGGGCUUUGUGAGAGGCUGAAGCUUCCGGAUAGGAUCUGCAACGCUCAGGUUCAGGUAUCAGUUGCAUAAUUUCCUGUUAUUUCAACACUCCUGUUUUUUUUUCCUUUUCUUUCUUUCUCUCUCUCUCUCUCUCUCUCUCUCUCUCUCUCUCUUUUUAAUGAGCUUCUUUGCAUACUGGAUAAGUCUUAUAUAAGCAUACAUUGGGUUGGAAAAAAAAAUUUUUUUUUGAGUAUUUUUUUUGGCAGACAUCUCCUGGCACAUGAUACAGCACUCAGAGCCAUCAACCGUAGCUGCGAUACAGAUGUUCAUUGCCUGUAUAAUCUUUCUCAUAUCAAGCAAUCACCCCGAGCCAAUUCCUUUAUUUUAAGCACCUUGCUGUGGGAACAGAGCUGUAAAUGCAGGAGCUGCGGAGUUCCCUCACACGUUUUACAACAGACAAACAGAAAAUUCAGCGCAGGUUCUCCGUGCAAACCAAACAGGCAGGGUGCUUUAGAUAAGAAAUGAGAGCCACUAGCAGAUAGUAUUAGGGAAAAAAAAGAGUCUCUCUCGAAAGAGAUACACUGGAGGAGUGCCAAUAGCACAUAGCUGUGUGGAGACUAAAUAAAACCAGGUGAGUUUCCUGCCAUUGUGGAAUAUCAAAUGUGAUUUCCAUUUGUGAUGGACGUGCUGGUUCUGCCAAGAUCAUCUGGAGGUUUUCAUUUUAGGACUUUUUAUUUUUGUUGGCCCAAUACAGAGCUACAGCCCAGAGCUAAAAGGGAGUGUUGCAGCACCGAUGCUCACAGCAGAUGAUGCCUUAAUCUGAGUGAGAAGCUCUUCCUGGGAGAAGGCUUUUCUGCAAUCAGUGCUAUAGGGCACAGGACAGCUCCUAAUACAAAACACAUGGGAAAACCCUGUGGAAAGAAAUGAUGUAUGAGCACUGAUCCUUACUCCCGAGCUACCAGGUAACAUCCUUCCACAUUAAGAACUGGGCUUGGUCCCAAAACAUCAUUCAAAUACUAGGUGUGAACCUGAGAUCCAGAUUAGGCUGUUUUGCACUUCUAAAGUGAUACGGAAAGGCUGGCAAGCUGCCCUAAUAAUGAUGAUAAAAAAACAGUCAGAGGUUUCUCUCCCCCAAGUGCUGUGCAGGGGUGGAGAAGGGCUGGCACGGCCCUCCUGCAGCCCUGCGUGUUGGGACAGGGCACCUGCUCCAAGCCGAGCCCUUGGCCUUGGUGUGUGUGCGUGAUUGCAGCGAUGCUCAGCUCCUUUCUGCUGCACUGCUUCCCGUUGGGUUCUUCUCCAGCUCAGGAGCUUCAGUAAGAUGGUGUUGGGUUUUGAGUCUGCCCGGUGACUUGGGAUCAGGGUGAUCACUGAUCCCCAGGUGGAGUAAAGGGCCAGCAAGCAUCGCGUGAAGGGGAUUGGGGAUCAGCCCUUCAUGGUGGUUGGGAGUGCACUGAGUACACUUGAGUGAGUGCUCAGGGGAUAGCCUGGAGAAAGGCCCAGAGGGGGAUCCACUUACAGGAAUACCAUGAAUAUAUGAAGUAAAAAUAGUUAAUGCUAACGAUGUUCUGAAAGGGAUAUUAAAUGUGCUGCUUUGGGGCUGUGGCCAGAGUUAAACCCUAUGUGCUGGAAAAUGUGUUCAGAUCUGCUACUGUGUCAGGCAGUGGAAGCUGUGAGGUACUGGUGUAUUGGAAUAACACACUGAGCAUUUUUCAGGCUUUUGUGGAUGGACACGAGCUGAUUUUUGAGCAGCCACUGUGUGCUUACACAAACACCAUGUAACUGAAUGCCAUCUUUUCCUGUAAAGAUAUUUUAAAACUGAGGGCUUGUAGUGAUGAUGGCCUCCAAGCAAAAUCCAUACCAGUUUCAAAAAAGACUCUUGCCCUUGUUCUUUACCUCCUUCACAAGGUAAGAAUCUCUCCUAUGAGAAAGAAGUAAGCCCAGUGGACGCCCAGUGGGGAUAUUAGCACUGGGGCUGGCCAGGGUGAAGAAUUGAUUGACUUUGAAUUGAUUUGAAAAGAAUUGAUUCCAUCAUUCAUUGAUGGAAUGGUUGCAGAAGGGACUGCAACUGUGCUUUCCACCUACCCCCUGUGCAUCUGGGUUCUGGGCAUCCUCCCACUGGUUUGGUGCUGGGCCCAAGAUCAAGAGAGAUUAUUUAGAUAUUUUCUUAGUAUUCUGACGUUUUUCAAUUAUUUCUGGAACACAGGAGUUGGAAAUGGGAUUCUGUAGGGGUUUUGCAAGAGCCUCUGUAAUGGACAGAAGUUUUUUACUCCUCAGAAAUUCUCCAGACCCAGUGGUCUCAGGAAGGUUCAUCUGUCAGCAAUUGUUGAUUGUGGUGGUUAGCACCAGCCCUUCUCUUUGACAUAUUGUGCUGCUUUCUUCCAGGACUUUCAUUUAUAUGAGACUUCUGGCAGCCUGCUGCUUCCUAGAUAGAAAAGCCAACAAACAGUCUGUUCCUUCUCCUUACCAGAUUCAUAAUGUCAUUCCUUCAGAGACAAGAUCUCAUCUAUUGCUCAAUCUUGGUGCAAGUUUGCUAAUUUUUCACCACCUCAGCACCAAAUCAUUCUAGUUCUGCACGUAUUACUGAGUGAUUUGUAAAGACUCACCAUGCACUUUUCCUAAGAAUAUGGUAGGGAAUGGGUGUGUAUGGAAAUGUGGGUCUGAUUUUUUUGGUUUUUUUUUCUAUUUCCCCCAAAGAAGAGAAGUAUGAAGCUGGCUCAAAGCAAGCUGGGCUUGCUGGAAACCAAAGGUAAAGCAUCCGCAGUCCUCCCGCAGAGUGCAUAAACUGUGUUUGUGGUUACACCGUAGCAGCAGGAGCAACUCUUCUGUGCCUCAGAGAGCUUAGUUGCUGUUCUGCCAUCUUUGCUCUUUGAAAUGUGAGAGCAAAAUUAAUUUCAGGAGAAAAAUAAAUGGAUUUAGAGCAAGGAUGGAUUUGGCUUCUAGUGCCACAGGAAUGCAAGAAAUCACCCAGCAAGAGAAAGAAGGCUAAACAGUGCAAACCUCUCAUAAAUCUGGAGAGAAAUUUUAAUCCAAAGUGCUUGCUGACCUUCACUGAUGCUCUCCUUCAUCUCACCAGUGUUUUAUUCUUCUUAAAUCCAGCCCCACCACUGGCAGACCUUCAGAGAAGUCAGUUCUUGCACAAACAGGAAGGCAGACUCCCUUCCCAUUAAUUGAGGUGGUGCUUCCAAUCCUCGUCCAGAGGACACAGGGGCAGGGAGGUGUUUGCCUCCAGGACCAGGAUUGGAGCUGGUCUGGAGAAAUACAUUUCCCAGGUGAGCAGAUCUGGCCCUUCCUGGGCAUCAGGUUCAGAGCCAGCUCAGGGACAAACUCAGCACUGUCUUCUGACCGUUAUGGGGGGAACCGAUUUCUAUCCUGAGUGCUUCAGCCCAUGCCAUGCAACCAGGAGUGUUGGACCCCUCCAGAUGCCCUAUGAAUGAAUUUCUCAAAGGCUGCCUGGGAGGAAACUCAAUCACAUUUCAGUUUAAUUAAGUGAUACCCAAAGUGAUGACGUCUGGAACCGACCUUGCUGGAUCUUCUCCUUCCCGCUGUGACUGCCAUAACUCCUGCAGCAGCAGCUGAGAUUGCUCAGACAUCUGCAGCUCCAUGUGGAGCCUCACUGCUGGCUUUGGUCUCAUGUUACCCAGCUGAGAUGUGAUCCUGGCAGGUCUGGGUGGGGGCUGCCUCGUGCCAUGCUGGGCACAUAGCAGCGUGCCCAUUGGCAGCUCAAUGGGAACCAACAGUGGAAUUACAGCAAAGAAUGUUUGAUGGACCACAAAAGGCUUUGAAAUUUUCUUCCAUGGAAGGCCAGUCUGAUCCUAUUAUAGUCCACAGUACGUCUGCAAUCUGUAGGACUUGCCGGUAACGUGGAUAUGCAUUAUUCCUUUAAUAAAAGCAAAUGAUGGCAAGGAA